UAGUAUUCCCUCUUUGCCGCCGCCACUCCCUUCUUCUCCCUUCACCUUUCUAUUUUUCUCUAUGAGCUAACGAAGAAGAACCUGCCACCACCGUCCUCGCCAUGGCUCCGGCGCUACAGGCCUCCCCUCGUCUAUCCGAGACCACCACCAGAACCGCCUUGUUUUCCUCUUCCUCCACACCCAAGGAAUCGGCAUGGGGCUCUCUAAAUCGAUGGUGAAAUCGCCAUUACCUUCUCCGACUCCGGCGAGUUCGUCGUUGAUUCCGGUGGCUGUGAAGCGUCCCCGGCCUCCUCGUAUGCGCCAUGAGCUUCAGGGAGUUCGACGCCGGCGAUGCUCCGGUGACCCCCUGGACCCCUCAUCGUCAACAUCUGAUUCCCCAUGUUCAAUCGCAUCCCCGACACCAUUUUCUCGUCCCUGGUUCGACUAGAAUCGGCGGAUCAAUUCACGACUUAUUUCUUCCGCCAUGGCUGCAGUUUCUCAAGUCCGUCUGCAUCCUGUCAUACUUCUUUAUGCCGCGCGCCCACCUCUUGUCACGACUCGAAUCAGCACCGCAGUGAUCUGAAGUCUGAUGGGCCUUGGCCCAGAUCUUCACGCCGCGGGCCGUUGCUCCGCGCGCCCAGCUUCUAUCCGCCACCGCUUCCACCAGCAUUUGCUUCUUCCCGGAUAGGAUCGCGAAGUGGUGCGGUGAGAUACGACAAGUUCUCCGGAUGUUCCUCGGCAAGCUUUAACAGGCAAGCAUUUCCCCUAUACUCCUGUCCCUGCAGGAGUCGCUCACCUAUUUUAUUUUGCCUUCUCCCUCAUGCUAUCCUUAAGUUGCGUUCUUGUCACGUGUCCUUUCCACUUGUUACCUCAAGCAGCCCAUAUUGCCACCACCACCUCCUACGGCUAUUGUUUGGUUAUCGAGUCUGCCCUUGCGAGUCGUAGUGCAUGCUAGUGCUGUUUUAUCUCGUUACCGUUUUGAUAUCUUAUCGGGUUAUAUGUUGGGAAGAAUCAUGGUUACUUUAGUUGUUGAUAUUUGUUUAGCGGAGGCAUCGGUGGGUCAGCUGCUCGUUUUGUGACGGCUCACUUGUGUUUCCUAAAUAUCUUAGGACCCCGAGUUCUUGUUAUCUGUUCCGAGACUGAGCGCUCUAACCACACGUGGGUAUGCUUACCGGGUCUCCCCUCGACCACUGCCGGAAUCUACAGCUUUGUCCAGUGGCCACAAUUAGUUUGAAUGUUUUGUUUCUCUCGGGCGUGCAAGCUUGUUUCUUUGUGGUCAGAUGAUAUGAUGUUACUUUUGGGGCCUUGUACCCCGUUGUCUCUUGCACGUUCGUAGGUUGCGGUGCCACUGCGAAGUGGUCAUCCCGCUGGGCACUGUCCACCUAGCACGCAGUCGCAAUAGCUGAGUCCGCUUCGGAGCACGGCCGGACUCUGAUUUGGGUUUAACUUAGUUAGGUGGCUUCCUGGACAUUGUUGUAGUGAAGGAGAGUGCGUGUCGUGAUAUCCACCUGUCGUAAGUGGGUUGAGCGUGCGUGUGGGUACAUUUGGGCAACCCCUGCAGGGUGUACAUCUUAUCGAUAAGCCGUGUCCGCGGUUAUGGACGACUUGGAGCUGUAUGACUCGACCAUAGACAACUUACACCUGUUGUUUAUUAACAAUAACUUGUGUAGUAAGUUAGCCCAACUUCAAUAAUAAAUGGUUAAAACUUGACAACCUUGUGAGUGCCUUUACCAGUACCUCUUUGCGAAGGGGGAACAUAUUGGCUGUGUUAUGUUUGCAGAGUAUAGAAUUGUUAGUUUAUGCGCUCUCUCAUCUUCUCUGAUUAGACGAAUGUUGUAGAGUGUCUCUAUAGGUUUUUAGUGCUUGCGCGUUGCCGCUUAACCCCACCAUAUUGCCUAUGACGUUUCUCUUGCAUCCUCUAAGUCCCCUGCGUGCCUCAAGUACAAAGGACGACUGGUUGACGAAUGCUUAUACGUCUUGAAGUCUUGUUAAGUAUGAACCCGUACUUAUUACUGCUUCUACGGGAUAUAACCGGGCAGGUAUGAAGAUAUGUUCGAAGAAGACGACGUUAGCAAGGUUACCCUUCCGGCUUGGCCUGGGCAGGGUUAUGGAUGCCGCUGGUUAUCUUCAGGACUCUUAGUCCAAUUUGUAUCUUGUCCGUACUCGGACGUAUUCGAUCUUCUGUAUGAUUUGGAUCUUUAUAUUGUAUAUUUGUAUCUUGACUCGUUGGAGUCGUUGUUGUAAUAUAUGUAUCUUGUGGGCUGUAUUGUAA